rnacentral:lncRNA from 1 species
GGGUAAAAAGACCAGACAGUCUGAACUCGGAUCCUCCCAGCCCACCUCAGAAUCAGUUAGGGCAACCUAUGGCUCCCCCAACUCAAAAUCAGUAUGGUCAACCUAUGGCUCCUGCACCUCAGUAUCAGUACGGUCAACCUAUGGCUCCACCGACUCAAAAUCAGUAUGGUCAACCUCUGGCUCCUCCGACUCAAAAUCAAUACGAUCAACCUCUGGCUCCUCCGACUCAAAAUCAAUAUGGUCAACCUAUGGCUCCACCAACUCCGCCCCCACCCGGACCAAACGAGGAUUCAAUGACUCCCCCACCUCAGAAUCAGAAUGGGGAUGGGCAGUUCAUGCCUCCUCCCACUUUGGACCAAGAUCCAAACGACCAG